rnacentral:rRNA from 1 species
AUACGGAGGGUGCAAGCGUUAUUCGGAAUCACUGGGCGUAAAGGACGCGUAGGCGGGUUGGCAAGUCAGAUGUGAAAUCCUACAGCUUAACUGUAGAACUGCAUUUGAAACUGCUAACCUAGAGUAUGGGAGGGGGAGAUGAAAUUAGUGGUGUAGGGGUAAAAUCCGUAGAUAUCACUAGGAAUACCGAAAGCGAAGGCGAUCUCCUGGAACAUAACUGACGCUAAGGCGUGAAAGCGUGGGGAGCAAACAGGAUUAGAAACCCUUGUAGUCC